rnacentral:rRNA from 1 species
AUACGAAAGGUGCAAGCGUUGUUCGGAUUUACUGGGCGUAAAGAGAGUGUGGGUUGUUUAUUAAGUCGGAUGUGAAAUCCCGGGGCUCAACCUCGGAACUGCAUUCGAUACUGGUAGACUAGAGUUCGGGAGGGGUAAGCGGAAUUCCGUGUGUAGCAGUUAAAUGCGUAGAUAUACGGAGGAACACCUGAGGCGAAGGCGGCUUACUGGACCGAUACUGACACUGAGACUCGAAAGCGUGGGUAGCAAACAGGAUUAGAAACCCUUGUAGUCC